UAACUAAAUUAAAUUAGUUUCUUACAAAAUGUGUCGGACAUUUUGAAUCUUUCAUUAUGAUUAAAAAUUAGAGUUUCUUAUUAAUCUUAAAUUAUGUAAUAAAGGUUUAGAAAAAAUAAAAGAAAUUUGUUUUUAGUGUUAUAUUGUGGCUAAUGAAGGAGUUAAAAAGUCCUUCCAGUCAGUUGCAACAACAAUUAAAGCAGCAGGAAACAGCCAAGUACACAUGCAAGUGAUUGUUAUGAGGAUUGCAAAACUUUUAAAUAUCAGAAACUGAAGAAAGCAUUCAUAAUCAGCAGAUAUCAAAAAAGCGCAAAAGUACUGAUUUUACAACUCUUUUAAAGUUGAGGAAGAAUUUUAUGUUAAUGUUAAUGCAAAAGGUACGAAUAUUGACAGGUUAGCUAAUUUGAUGUAACAAUAAACAUGAAAUAAAGUUUGUGAAGACCUUAGUGCCAAAAAUACUUGCAUGCAUUAUUCAUGCAUGCUGUAUUAUAAUAUAGCAAGCAUGCAUGAUGCAUUUAAGUAUAAAAAAAAGUUACAAAUGUUUAAUUAUACAAAAAGAUUAUGGAUGUGGUACUGCAAGUAUAUUCAAUUGAUUAUGCAAUUAAACCAUCACCACUUCCACAGCCACCUUGUCUCAAGCAUUAAAUCGCAUUCUAAGAUAUCUUUAUUCAAAUUAAGUGUGACUACUUUACCAAAAGACUCUAGAAUGGACCAAUCAA
rnacentral:misc_RNA from 1 species